rnacentral:rRNA from 1 species
UACGGAGGGUGCAAGCGUUAUCCGGAUUUACUGGGUUUAAAGGGUGCGUAGGUGGGUAGGUAAGUCAGUGGUGAAAUCUUCGAGCUUAACUCGGAAACUGCCAUUGAUACUAUCUGUCUUGAAUACUUUGGAGGUAAGCGGAAUAUGUCAUGUAGCGGUGAAAUGCUUAGAUAUGACAUAGAACACCAAUUGCGAAGGCAGCUAACUACGCGAUAAUUGACGCUGAUGCACGAAAGCGUGGGGAUCAAACAGG